GCCUGAUCUAGCAGGGCUCUCCUUGCAGUGAGAUUCAUAAUCUCAGGGUUGUGGGUUUGAGCCCCACGUUGGGCA